GACAAUUUUGACUGAUUUUGAAUAAUAAAACAUAUAUCACAUACAACUUCUUGUUUAUACACAUUCUGUAAAUCAAAAACAAAGAAAGAGAAUAGCACUUCGUCUUCUUCAUUUUUGAAGAAGAUAAAUGAACCCUAACCAACUAAGACCACCGCCACCCAGCCAUGGCGUCGUCAACUGCCCAGUCGCACGAUGACGUCCAGCCCUCCAAGCCAACGAACGACCAGUUCGUCAAUCUCAUCGUCGCUGCCCUCCAUGGUUCCUUUCGUCCGGAGCUUCAUCGUCCCCGUUGAUGCUUCUGUUGCGCCAAAAAUGGCAGCCACGACCUGGUAGACAUUGUCGUCGACCAGUAGCCACAAACGACCCAUCUCAAACCACCAGAAACACCACACGAACCAGCAACGCCGGACAACAGACGAACCAGCGACGCCGGACAGCAGCGAAUAGCAGCGACACACAACGACCAGCUGCUGCCCGUCUCCCUCCGUCCGUCUUCCUCCAUGGCUGCUGCUCUCCGUCCCAAACGACUCCUGAAAAAGUCCAUGUCCAAGAACUAGCUCGACCACGACCAUUGCUUCGUCGAGUUCCAACUCGUCCUUGAACGAGCAACAACACCCACAAACAGUACACAUUCCCUUAAUUGGUACAAUGUAGCUCAAACACUGAAGCAUGAAUGAAAGAGAGUUUUAGAGCUUGAAGAUAUUGAUGAUAAUUUUACCUUGUAGUUUUCUAUCUAUAUAACUAUUUCUGGGCCUACUUGAAAUGUACAGUUAACUGCAACACACUAGUUAGCUUGAAUCUGUAGUAGGUUUAAAGUGUUGAACUCAUGUGAUAGCUAAAUACUUGAUCGUAUACUGUGGUAGCACUUUGGGAUAAUCAGAUUAGUUUCAUUUUCUUUAGAAGCUGUAAAUGAUAGUCAAAUUUAUGUAAAUCACCCAGCAUGUCUAUGUUCAACUAGUACCUGAGUUCUAGUUCA